ensembl:lncRNA
AAAGCAAGCAGCUGUUUGGACAGCAUGCUGUGAGUUGCUUUCCUCACCAGAUAACCAUACACCUGCCAUAAUGCUGACAUUUCCAUCCCUGAAGCCUCUCUUUUUGGGUGAGGGCAACAUCUGCCAAAGUGGAAUUACAUCUACAAUAGAAAUACAAAAUACAGCACUCUCAUGCUUUGGCCACCUCAUGCGAAGAGCUGACUCAUUGGAAAAGACCUGGAUGCUGGCAAAGAUUAAAGGCAGGAGAAGAGGACGACAGAGGACGAGAUAGCUGGAUGGCAUCACCGACUCAAGGGACAUGAGUUUGAGCAAGCUCCCGGAGAUGGUGAAGGACAGGGAGACCUGGCAUGCUGCAGUCCAUGGGGUUGCAGAGUCGGAUAUGACUGAGCGACUGAACAACAUGCUUAUUAGACCACAAAAUCAUUUUCUGUAAGAACCAUUAAGUAGCAGUGUUUUGUGGAACAUACUUUAAGAAAUUUUGAGUUAAUACACUGUGCCCAAAACACUUCUGUUAACAAGAAAAUGUUACCAGAGAGAAACACACUGACUUGUUAGAAAAACCUAAUUUUAUUAUAGCACCUAAAACACUUGUGUUACAUUUUUGUGUAAACACUGUGCACUGUCUACAAAUUAAAAGCAUUUUGAAAUCAUGAGUAGGAGAGAUUUGCUAUUCUAAAUGAUGAAUGAUUAUUCAGUGACAUCUAGCCAGUCUGCCCACUUUAAGCAAAAUGUACUUAGAGGUACAAGUCAAUAUAAGAGUGGCAUUAGUUUGACUGAAAGUAAAAUAAGUCUCUUUAUUAUGGCACUACUCAUUUUCUCCUGUUGAAGGUAUUAAUUUUUAAGUAUUGAAUGCCUGUUUUUCAUUCCUUAAUGAGGCUAACACAACAAAAAGAAGAGAAGCAAUCUAAAAGAUAACUGGGGCUGGAUCAUGUCAUUUCCCCCAACACUGUCACAUUGUUCAAGUUAGAAAAUCUAAAAUCUGGAUGCCUAACUAAAUCACAAAAGGUCAGGCCCCAGGUAUUCCUGGUAAGCCAUUUUAUGGUUUAUAAUUGUUUUAUUAGACUACUGAGUUCAAUUUACUUACCUCUUUUUGGAAUGUAUCCAUGUAUCUCAAAUGAUACUGGUCUAGAUUUUGCUUUUUAGGAGUUAUCCUCAUCUAAUUUUAUUAUUGGGAUAUUUGCCUUGUAGAAUGAUUCUGAAAAAUUUUGUUAGAGAUUAUCUGUUUUUAAAACUUUCUUGCCUGCAAAACUGUUGACCCUAGUUUUUAAAAAAACAAGAGCAUAACUAUAUUUAUUUUCCCUCGCCUACAGAUCUCUUACAUUAUAAAACCUAUGUUACAAAAUCUAUAAAUUGUUUAAAAUAUAAAAUAAAUAAAAUAUAAAGUAGGUUGUUCAGGUUUUCUAUAGGAUCUUGAGUCAACUUUGAUCAUUUAGGUUUCUCUAAAUAGUUCGUUCUCCUUAUUUUUAUACAUAAUGAAAUAUAUGUAUAUUAUAGUACAUUCAUGAACUUAAAAACUUUUAAAUCUCUUUGAUAUAUGUAGCUAUUCACAAUUCCCAUACAUAGAGCUGUAACUGAAUCAUCUUUUUCCCCUCAAUAAUAACUGUUGAUUCUAUAUUAAUGGUCUUUUCAAGGAGAAUAUUCUUGGAUAAAAUCUACUAGUUUCUUAUUCUAUUUAUACUUUUAAAAAAUUGUAUUUUUACCUUUAUUGUAUGAAUUACUUCCUGCUAUUUACCUUAAUUAAAAAAAAAAUUGUUUUCUGGGAAUUCCCCAACAGUCCAGUUUUAGGACUUCUAGGGUUAGGGGAAUCCUAAUCCCUGGUGGGGGAACUAAGAUUGCACAACCCAUGCAGGGUGGCCAAAAAAAAAUUUUUUUUCUGGAUUCAGCUAAAUGCUUUUUUUUCAGUACAUUUAUCAACUUCCUGCUCGACAGGCACAGUAGGUAUGGUAACAGAGUGCUGAACUAAUUCUCAAGGCAGGUUUUCUAAAUGCAUCAAGGUUACUAUUUUUCUACCAAGUAGUGUUUUAGUGACUUCCCACAAAUUUUUACCUGGAGGUAUCAAAUUAUCAUUUAUCAUGAAUAGUUUAAAGUUUCAGAUUUUCUACUUCAACAAACACUUUAUUAUGGAAAUUUUUAAAAAUAUGCAAAGGUAGUAAGAAUAGGACAAUGAACCCUAUGUUCCCAUUAUUCAAGCUUCAACAAUUAGCAACACUUUGCUGAUCUUAUUUCAUCUAUCCUUUCCACUUUUCACUUUUCUUCAGUAUUAAAAGCAAAUCAUACACGACAUAAUUUUACUUUUGAAUACUUCAGUAUGGAUCUCUAAUGCAUAAGGAUUUGUACACACACCCAAACCCAUGCCAUCAUCAUGUCUAACAAAUGAAUUCUUGUUGUUGUUUAGUUACUAAGUCAUAUCUGACUCUUUUGCAACCCCAUGGACUGCAGCCUGCUAGGCUCCUCUGUGCAUGGGAUUUUCCACAAGAAUUUUGGAAUGGGUGGCCAUUUCCUUCUCCAGUGGAUCUUCCUGACCCAAGGAUUGAACCCGUGUCUCCUACAUUGCAGGAGGAUUAUUUACUACUGAGCCACCUGGGAAACCCAACAAAUGAAUAAAAAUCAUUUAAUACCCAUCCUAGGUUUACCUUUUCACAAUAAUUUUUUUUUUAAUUUGCUUGUCAGAAUCAGGAUUGUAUUGAAUUUAUUUUCUUAUUUUCUGUAUUCUCAAUGUUGGCAUUUAGAGACUUGAUCUUGGAGCAACUAUCCCUUCUAGAGAUAGCAAAUUCCUUGACAAAUGGCUCCCCUGUGAGCAUGCUUUGAUAUACAAACCAACGAAUCCAAAGUUGAAACCCCUUUACCAAACAUCUCCUUUAGCAAACUCUCAGACACCAAGCCAAUAUUCUUCCUGUUCUGAAUCACCAGAGCCAAGUACUGGACAACUAAGGACCACCGGCUGUAGCUCUGAGUCCACAAAAUUAUUCAAUCUAUCUAGUCCUAAACUUGCUCAGUGUACCUACCUGGCAUCACAUCACCCAUUCCUUCCUGGGAAAACUCAAGUCAAGUUUCUGAGUCAUGCGCUGCCCUUUCCUGCCUUCUGCCUCCUAACAGGACUAGCUGCUUCUUCCAUGUGGUCCUAUAUGCAUGCGGUGCUUCCUGUUAGUAGAAACCUCUGCCAAUAAGCUUCUUCCUUCAUGAUAAUCAUUUCCAUGUCUUCAUAUCUUACCAUACCAGAUUAAAGCAAAUCCUGGCUACAUUUUAAUACAAGCAUCUCAAUACAUUGCAUACACUGUAUUCAAUUAACAUAUCUCUUAAGUCUCUUUUAAUUUGUAAAAUUGUUUUUAUUGUCUUAUCAUAUAUUGGUUAAGAAAGUAGGCCUUUUAUUUUGUUGAAUUUCCCACAUUGUGGAUUUGGCUGUUAGUUUUGUGUCAUUAAUUUGUUCAUUUAUUUCUCAAGUCUCCUGAAAACUGGUAGGUUUAGAGACCAAAUUACACUUCUGAAUCAAUAUUUUGGACAAGAAUAUGCCACAGGUAGUAUUGCAUCCAUUGCAUUGCAUCAAGAAGCAAUUAGUUAUGCUGAUUUAGAGAUGUUACUAUUGAUUACUGGGUUGUCAUUCUGCCCCAUCCAUUAAAAUCUUCCUAUAAUCUUUCACCAAAUGGUUUUCAUACCCACUGAUAUCAACAAGAUCCAUAAGUAAAAAGUGUGAUUGCUUGGAUCUAUCAUUCCUUUGACCUUUAUUAGCUAGAAUUUUCUAAUAAUAAAGAACUUUCCUUCACCAACUUCUGGUUGUCUUAUCUAGUCCAUAAAGGAAAUAUAUAGUUCAUAAAGGAAAGGCAAGAUAAGUGCUCCAUUUUCCUUGUUUAUUAAUAAAUGCCCUAAUGUGUUCUGUAACUGAUCAAUGCAUUUGAUCAGAAAAAAAAAAAAAAGAAGCUAGCAAAGGCUAUAGAAAUCACAACAAAAGGACACAGGAUCCAAGCUGAGGAAAUCCCCACUGGCUGAAGAUAAUAUUAAUUUGAGCAUUUUUUAAAAAGGCCUCAAUGGAUUUUUUAAAAGUGAUACCGGAUUUAGAGGUGAUUUUUAAUUUCCAAAGUUUCUUUUUAUCUUAUCCUUUAAUACUUUAUUUAAUUGAAGUAUAGUUGAUUUAUAAUACUGUGUUAGUUUUAGGUGUACAGCACAGUGAUUCAGUUUUAUAUAUAUGUGUAUAUAUA